rnacentral:rRNA from 1 species
GACGAACGCUGGCGGCGUGCUUAACACAUGCAAGUCGAACGGAAAGGCCCUGCUUUUGUGGGGUGCUCGAGUGGCGAACGGGUGAGUAACACGUGAGUAACCUGCCCUUGACUUUGGGAUAACUCCAGGAAACUGGGGCUAAUACCGGAUAGGAGCGCCUGCUGCAUGGUGGGGGUAGGAAAGUUUCGGCGGUUGGGGAUGGACUCGCGGCUUAUCAGCUUGUUGGUGGGGUAGUGGCUUACCAAGUCUUUGACGGGUAGCCGGCCUGAGAGGGUGGCCGGCCACAUGGGGACUGCGGUACGGCGCAGACUCCUACGGGAGGCAGCAGGGGGAAAUCUGGCACAAUGGGGGGAAGCCUGAUGCGGCAGCGCCGGGUUUGGGAUGAGGGUCUUCGGGUGAUAAACCGCUUUCGCCUGUUACGAAGCGGGAGUGACGGUAAUGGAUAAAGAAGCACCGGCUAACUACGUG